AGAUGGAAUGAGGGCCUUGGACAUGCUGCAUUACAGCGUCGGCUAGUAUGGGUCCAGGUUGAGAAAAAACCCACCAACUGGAAAAUUGUCAAUUGCCAUGGCAGAAGAAAAGAGAGCUCUGUGGGUCUUGUGCCAACAGUUAAUGCCCCAGACCAGAAAUGACAUGCCAUUUCCAUUCAUAACUCACUGGCCAGAACAAGUCACGUAAUCCCACCUAACCACUAUGGAACUCAAGUUUCAGAGAGAAAAACUGGCUACGAGGAAGCAAGUCUGUUGACUAGUUCUAUUGACAUGAUCGCAUAUUCGUUACCUACUCAUGCAUUUAUUUAACAGAUAUUUGAAUAUCUGCUGGAUUGGUAGUGAACCUCGGGUUAUAGAGAUGAACAAGCAGGCAUGAUUCUUGCCCUUAUGGAGCUUACUUACAUUUGUUGGUAAAUUACCAUUAAAAGAGCAAUUACAGUGAAGGGGGAUAAGUAUUCUGAUAAGGAAAGAACAAGAUGCUUCAGUAUCAGCAAAGCAAGCAGUUUUCAUGCAUAUGGAUAAGAUAACUAGAGCUGUGAGCAUUUGACUGGGUCAAGGAGUCCAGAGCAAGUGCUAGGAAAGGAAAGCCAGGGCCUGUCUGUUCCUUGCUUCCCCUCCAUUUGCACCUUUGCUCAUUCCUGAAGGAAGCCCAAGAGAGGUGUUUAGCUAGCCCUGUCCAGUGGUGACCUUGACUCCACAUCUCUCGGGCAGGUGGCUGGAGGUUGCGUGGGAGUUUGCAUAUGUGGGCACACUGGCACGUGCACACAGGAUUCACGAAGGCAUUCAGUGCUGGCAUUCCCGGAACAGAGCCUGAGCUGGGUAGCAGGCCUGGGAACCAGCAGGCCCAUCUUGAUUUCUCCCUGAGGCGGUAAAACCGGACCAGUCAAGAGCCCAGGGCCACCCGAGUGAGUUUCCAUGGCUGCGAAGGUGGAAGAAGCAGGGAACUGUGGCUGGAAGGCACCACUUGAUGCUUCUUGCUCUCUUCCAGGUUCUCUGUGGGUGUUGGCACCAU
rnacentral:lncRNA from 1 species